CAAGCAGGGGGAGUGGGAGAGGAAGAAGCAGGCUCCAGGAGCCCAAUGCGGGACUCGAUUCCAGGACCCCAGGAUCAGGCCCUGAGCUGAAGGCAGACGCCUAACAACAGAGCCACCCAGGCGCGCCACUAUUUGUGUUUCUAAAUAUAAGCUUUUGUCAGUGUUCUGUCUUCCUUGUUGACAUCCUGGAAGUCAGCCCCUGUCCUGUUAUAACUGAGAAACAAUUAGAAAGAGAGAGAGAUACAAGUAGGGGGUCACUAGCCCCUUUGUAGUACCAGUCUGUCUUUUCAGAAGGAGCAUCUGAAUGUCUCAGUGGCAAGUCACUGGAAAGUCACAUAAUGUCUGGGAAAGAGCACCAGCUCUGGGAUUGUGCAUUCCUGGGUUUGAAUCCUAAUUCCUCCACUUACUCUGUAGCCUUUAGGAUUAACAUCCCUUGUGAUUUUCUUUCCUGUUGUACAUCACAUGAGAGAGGCAUUCUGCCUUUUGCAGUGCUCUCAUAGGUAGAGGACGUAGAUGGGCAGCUUUGCUUUGUGCUUUUCUUCUUUUCAGAUCCCUUUUACUGGGCCUGGUUGCCCCAGGCAAAAGUCCCGUUCUCUCAGGAGAUCAAAGAUCUGAUUCUUCCAAAGAUAUCGGACCCUAACUUCGUCAAGGACUUGGAGGAGGACCUAUAUGAACUCUUCAAGAAAGAUCCUGGUUUCGACAGGGGCCAGUUCCAUAAGCAGAUUGCUGUCAUGCGGGGACAGGUAAGCCUGGGACUUCUUCUGGUGUCAUCCCUGGUAUCUCUCUGGGAGGUCAUAUGCUCAUGUUGAGUAAAUGCGUAAAGCUUGUGUCUUACACCCUUUGAGUCUAUGCCGUGCUUAUUUAUGACUCUGUCUUAGCACGUGGGAGAGGACACGGAGCCCUUUCAAAUCUCCCACCUCUUCCAUGGUAUCCAGUGCUUGGUGAGACACUAUGUGCUCAGCUCUGUGCCAGUUGUUGGGUAGUUCAUUGGUAAAUUUACCCAGUGGCCUGUCAGGUUGUUCAAGGCAGGCCCUAUGCCCUUGUGGUUAAGAGCUAGCCUCUGGAGUCAGACUUCUUCACUACUUACAAGCUCUGCGGCCUUGGGCAGGAAAGAGCCUCUGCUUCCUUGUUUAUAAAAUGUGACAAUAACAACACCUUGCAGAGUUGGCCAGAGGAUUACGUAAGAUAAUGCAUAUCAAGUGUUUAGUAAAGACAGUUACCUGGCGUGUGGUUAGUACUCAUAUAUUGGCUAUGGUUAUAAUUUUUGUUAUUAUGGCUACGAGUCGUAUUAUUUCUUCUCUCUCCACUUCACCUUCAAGGAGAGCUAAGGAAACCCCUAGGGCAUUGUUGAUCUUCCAAAAUAUAGUAAAGACUAUGCCUGAAAAAUUAUUUUAAAACUCCGUAGGGCACUAACAUUCUUAUCGCUUUAAAGAGAUCCAGGAUGGCCUAGUGGUUAAGGGGCACAGUGGUCAUGGUGCCUGUGUUUGAAUCCUGGCUCUCUCAUUUAUUGGCUCUGAGGUCUUGGAGAAGUUGCUUAAUCUGUCCUUCCUUUAGUUUCUCCAUGUGUAACAUGGGAUUUAUAACAGCACCUACAUCAUAGGGUUAUUAUGAAAUAAUGAUUAUGAAGUAAGUGAUUUGGAGUAGUGCUUGAUGGAUUGAAGUUCUCAGUAUGCAUUAGUUGUUUUAUGAUUUUGUGUAUAGAAAAGGCAGCUUUUCACAUCUUUAAAGGACAGGAAGGUCUUUCUAGUUGUAAUUAGGCAUUUAUCUCUUCCUACCGUUUUGGUAAAGGCUUCUGGUGAGAGCAACUCUUGGGCUUACUGAGUCCAUGUUUCCAUGGAAAUGGGACAUACAGAGCUUUUAAGAGCUGUGGUUGUUAUAGCUGCUUGCACACCAAUAACGCGGUCUUUCUACAUUACUCAGGUCAUGUAAGGGCCCAGUUAAGCUGGCAGAAUUUUUGGAAACCUUAAAAACCACAUGAUGUACUGUGGUAUUAUGGAACUCAGCAUAAAGGAACUAACUUCUCAAGUUUAUGUAGGCUGUGCCUCUGUUCCUAUUGUACUAUCUUCCCUAAUCCCUUUCCAAUUCAGUCCCUUGCCAAAACCACAGCAACCCUCCUCUCUUAUAUCCAGUUAGGGAUGUUAUCUAGAGUGGCAAAAGGUGGGGAGAUGGGAGAGUGUAAUUUUAUCUUUCUCUCCAUUUUGUGCCCGUAAUGUCCUUUGAGGGCCUUUUGGCCCCUUACAACCUAGAGUGCCUACCUCUGAAACACUGCCAGGUUUCGUGAGUGUCCAGCUCCUUUCAGCAGGUAGCUGGCCAACAUGAUCAGUCACAUCCUUAUUAGCUUACCAGUCACCCACUGAAGCAAAAUGAGCCUUUGCCUUCCAGAAGUCUGAUCUAGCACAGGGAAAGGCGAUCACAACCCUUUACCUACCUGAGCCUAAUCACAGAGCCUGUAUGAGGGCCCUGAGCCAGGGGGAAGAGUCACAACUCCCAGAGAGAUGGAGUUAGGCGACAGAAGUUGUUGCUCGCUGGAAAGACUGAGCCACACCAGGUGUUAGAGUGCAGGGUCUGAGGUGGAGCCUCUCUAACUGGCGUAUUCAAAGACCAUGUUUAUUCUUUAGCAUCACGUACCUGCUAUCAAAUUUUUGUCAACUCUUUAAUUUGAAAACUUUCAAACCUCAGUAAAGAGUAGGAUCUUUUCCUAGAUUCACCAGUUAUUACACUUGGUUAGCCACACUUGCUUUAUCUCGGUAUCUGUUUGCUCGUAUCUCCAUAGAUGAUCCGUCGGAGUAAUACCCAUCUCUACAUAUCCACGCAGUUUCUCUCUUUAAUACGCCUGUGUAAUUUGUCUCUCCUUAGGUCAGUAGAUUGAUAUGUUUCCUUUUUGGCCAAAUCUUUUGAAAGUAAGUUGUGGAUAAUUUGACAUUUUACCCCAGAUACUUCAGUGUGCAUGAGAGGCAGCUUCUAAUCCAAAGAAUCGAAGGAAACACAGGACGAACCAGCCAGGGCAGGUGUCUCUUAAAUCCUGCACAAUUCACUCCAAUUGGAACCUCCUUUUCAUUCUCUACCCUGAGUUUUGUGUUCUAUGGUCUUUGAAGCAGUGGAGGAUGCUGACAGAUUGCAAAACAAUUAAGUAAAAAAAAAAAAAAAAAAAA